AUGGAAGCUGGAAAACAAAGGCCAGUGUUCGUGAAGGUGUUUCUUCCUCCAAACAGGGACGACAUGAAGCUCAGAUGGAUCAGUAUACAGAUUUCAGACUGUAAAUAAGAACUAUUUCAACGUAAGUCAAUUUAAAGACUGCGUUCAGCCACAUGCUCUAGAAAACAGUGAGAUCCCAAGCUUUACAACAUGCCUGGGUAUGAAUGUGGCUGGGCUUUUUUUUUUUUUUUUCCCCCCGCCCAGGACCUUAGGCUAUUUAACUCCUUCCUCUUGGACUCAGUUUCUUCAUCUGUAACAUGGGGAUAAAAAUAGAACCUCACCACAGAUGUCAAGAAGAUAAAGGUAAUCCACAGCAAAGUCUUGGCUAACCAUGGACCAGUCACUGGGUUGUCAGAAAAUGUAGGCUACUGGUGUGGUCAUCAUUUUGUAGGUUACAACAGUGCAUAUUGAGCUGACAAAGUCAGUACAUUUGACAGGCUUUGUUGCCAGUGGCACAGAUUAAAAACAGUAAAUGUUUCCAUCACAGAGGGGUUCAUCUCUCCAUGCCAGUCCAGCAAGUGGUGGAAUAACUCCUUAAACUCAACAGCUGGAAGCCAAGUAAAAGUUGGUGGCAUCAUGGAACACAGCCAGUCACAAAACCUUGUGAAAUCACAUCUUGAAGACAGACUCUGUAACUUAUCACACAGUCCAUAAAGCCACGCAAGUUGUCUACAAUAUGAACAGGAAUUCUAGGCCUUAACUAAGUAAUCUGUGACAUCUCAGAAAACAAACUGGGGCAUCAGAAGAAGAAAAAAAAAUAGCUGCCUCCCAUUUCUCAGCUUUUAUUAGUCUUUUUUGAACCCAAUGUUUAGAAAGCAUUCACUCUGACAAAAUAAAUGAUGCUUCACCAUAGUACACAUUUAUCCCGUUUUAUCAUAAAGCAUUCAGCAUUAUCUCUGUAGAGUGAUAUUUUGAUAAAUGUGAAGAAUACAGUUCCCGUCAUUAAACAGCUUCGUAUAUUUGGCAGUUGAA